CACGUAGGGGGCAAGCGUUGUCCGGAUUUAUUGGGCGUAAAGAGCUCGUAGGCGGUUCGGUAAGUCGGGUGUGAAACCUCCAGGCUCAACCUGGAGACGCCACCCGAUACUGCUGUGACUCGAGUCCGGUAGGGGAGCGUGGAAUUCCUGGUGUAGCGGUGAAAUGCGCAGAUAUCGGGAGGAACACCCGUAGCGAAGGCGGCACUCUGGGCCGGUACUGACGCUGAGGAGCGAAAGCGUGGGGAGCAAACAGG
rnacentral:rRNA from 1 species